rnacentral:rRNA from 1 species
AUUGAAGGCUGGCGGCAGGCCUAACACAUGCAAGUCGAACGCGUGGCGGAAGGGUGAGUAAUGUCUGGGAAACUGCCUGAUGGAGGGGGAUAACUACUGGAAACGGUAGCUAAUACAGAAUAACAUCAGAUGUGCCCAGCUGGGAUUCGCUAGUUGGUGGGGUAACGGCUCACCAAGGCGACGAUCCCUAGCUGGUCUGAGAGUAUGACCAGCCACACUGGAACGGAGACACGGUCCAGACUCCUACGGGAGGCAGCAGUGGGGAAUAUUGCACAAUGGGCGCAAGCCUGAUACAGCCAUGCCGCGUGUAGGAAGAAGGCCUUCGGGUUGUAAAGUACUUUCAGCGGGGAGGCGUUACCCGCAUAAGAAGCACCGGCUAACUCCGUGCCAGCAGCCGCGGUAAUUC